rnacentral:rRNA from 1 species
AGAGUUCGAUCCUGGCUCAGGAUGAACGCUGGCGGCGCGCCUAACACAUGCAAGUCGAACGGCACCUAUCUUCGGAUAGAAGCGAGUGGCGAACGGCUGAGUAACACGUGGAGAACCUGCCCCCUCCCCCGGGAUAGCCGCCCGAAAGGACGGGUAAUACCGGAUACCCCGGGGUGCCGCAUGGCACCCCGGCUAAAGCCCCGACGGGAGGGGAUGGCUCCGCGGCCCAUCAGGUAGACGGCGGGGUGACGGCCCACCGUGCCGACAACGGGUAGCCGGGUUGAGAGACCGACCGGCCAGAUUGGGACUGAGACACGGCCCAGACUCCUACGGGAGGCAGCAGUGGGGAAUCUUGCGCAAUGGGGGGAACCCUGACGCAGCGACGCCGCGUGCGGGACGGAGGCCUUCGGGUCGUAAACCGCUUUCAGCAGGGAAGAGUCAAGACUGUACCUGCAGAAGAAGCCCCGGCUAACUACGUGCCAGCAGCCGCGGUAAUACGUAGGGGGCGAGCGUUAUCCGGAUUCAUUGGGCGUAAAGCGCGCGUAGGCGGCCCGGCAGGCCGGGGGUCGAAGCGGGGGGCUCAACCCCCCGAAGCCCCCGGAACCUCCGCGGCUUGGGUCCGGUAGGGGAGGGUGGAACACCCGGUGUAGCGGUGGAAUGCGCAGAUAUCGGGUGGAACACCGGUGGCGAAGGCGGCCCUCUGGGCCGAGACCGACGCUGAGGCGCGAAAGCUGGGGGAGCGAACAGGAUUAGAUACCCUGGUAGUCCCAGCCGUAAACGAUGGACGCUAGGUGUGGGGGGACGAUCCCCCCGUGCCGCAGCCAACGCAU